ACUCCUACUGGAGGCAUCAGUGGGGAAUUUUCCGCAAUGGGCGAAAGCCUGACGGAGCAACGCCGCGUGAGGGAUGAAGGCCUCUGGGCUGUAAACCUCUUUUCUCAAGGAAGAAGAUCUGACGGUACUUGAGGAAUAAGCCACGGCUAAUUCCGUGCCAGCAGCCGCGGUAAUAC
rnacentral:rRNA from 1 species